CCUUCCUCAGAGCACUUGUUGUUGCUAGACAUUCCCAGAAGGUAUUAUUGCUUAAAUACAGCUUGUGUUUUCUUUACCCAGAUUUCUUAAACUGGGAAGAUAUGACAGGGUGUGAUAUCGGACUGCAGUGAAGCUUCACCUGUGCUGUUCUACCCUUCAUGAGUGAGCAGUGCUGGGCAGUGCAGCAGGCAUGCUCCUGCCCUUUUCAGGAUGAUGGUAUCUCUAGCCCUGUCUGCUGGGUUCUUCCUGCUUUCGCGCUGAAGAGGUGUGUGGGAGAAGGUGGCCAGGCAUAUAGUGUUGUAACAACCUUCUACUGAUGGAGGCGCAAUGCUGGUGUGUGCUGGCAACACACCCAGCAGUGGAUGCAGUGAUACAAGUACUUUGGGCAGCACAGAGGAAGUGCCCGCAGAAUCCAGCAUGGAGCAGAGCUCCUGAGAGAGAGAGGGCAGCAGCGAGGAGCUAUGUUUGCUGGAGAAAACGUUUGAAGGCGUGGAGAACACUUGUCCAGUCAUAACUGAAACUAUUCAAGAUGCACAGGCCUGAAAUGUCACCUUAAGUUUCUGUUGCUCUCUGAUGUGGAUCCUGUCUUCUAGCAAACUUUAUGGACAACAGCUUUUGUUACAAGGAGAGAUGGUAAGUUUGUGCACUCAACUUCUUUUUGGAAGAAUAUUUUAUUGUGGAACCUUUCUUUAUCCAAAGGCUUGAGCCUUUGAUCUGGGAGCUUACAGGGUGGGUAAGUGCAGCUGUAUUGGGCUGGAUAGAUGUCACCCUCAGGAAUUCACACACGUAACUCUCCUUGACCUGAACUGGAGAAGGGCCAGAGUUUGUUCACUUUUGCUUUCUAACAUUGAGAAAAGUGAAUGCUGUUCUACAGAACCUAUAAUUUCUUCCCAAGUAGAUGAUGACUAAAGAAGGCCUGAGCUGACUAUAGAUAAUCUUAUAUUUACUGGAAAUGAAUGUAGCUCAUAACUCUUAUUUUAGCACCAGUCUGGAACACUACAG
rnacentral:lncRNA from 1 species